GCCGUUGAAAAGGUAGGGGAUGAGCUGUGGAUAGCGGGGAAAUUCCAAUCGAACACGGAUAUAGCUGGUUCUCCUCGAAAUAGCUUUAGGGCUAGCCUCGGGGUAAAGAGUUGCGGAGGUAGAGCACUGAAUGGGCUAGGGGGCCACAAAGCUUACUGAACCUUAUCAAACUUCGAAUGCCGCUAACUUAUACCCGGGAGUCAGACUGUGUGAGAUAAGUCUCACGGUCAAAAGGGAAACAGCCCAGAUCAUCAGCUAAGGUCCCAAAGUGCAGGUUAAGUGGAGAAGGAUGUGUCAGUGCACAGACAACCAGGAUGUUGGCUUAGAAGCAGCCACACAUUUAAAGAGUGCGUAAUAGCUCACUGGUCGAGUGCUGAUGCGCCGAAGAUUAACGGGGCUAAAACCUGCCACCGAAGCUAUGGAUUUGCCGCAAGGCAAGUGGUAGAGGAGCAAUGUGUACAGGCAGAAGCCGUACCGUCAGGAGCGGUGGACAGUACACAAGAGAGAAUGCCGGUAUGAGUAGCGAGAGUGAGGUGAGAAUCCUCACCGUCGAAAGCCAAAGGUUUCCUGAGGAAGGUUCGUCCUCUCAGGGUAAGUCGGGGACUAAGCCGAGGGCGGUAGAGCCGUAGGCGAUGACCAGCAGGUAGAGAUUCCUGCACCACCAGUGUAUCGUUUGAGGAAGCAGUGACACAGAAGGAUAGUCAGAGCGCGUUGAUGGUAGAGCGCGUCCAAGCAGUGAGGCUGAUACGCAGUAAAGUACACGUAUCGAAAGGCUGGGCUGUGACGGGGAGUUAAAUGAUAUGAAGCUGAUGAAUUCACGCUGGCGAGAAAAGCUGCUAACGAGAUAUACGGUGCCCGUACCGCAAACCGACACAGGUAGGCGAGGAGAGAAUCCUAAGACGAGCGAGAGAACCAUUGUUAAGGAACUCGGCAAAAUUACCUCGUAACUUCGGGAGAAGGGGUGCCUAUAGAGAUAUAGGUCGCAGAGAAUAGGCCCAAGCGACUGUUUAACAAAAACACAGGUCUGUGCUAAAUCGAGAGAUGAAGUAUACGGGCUGACGCCUGCCCGGUGCUGGAAGGUUAAGGGAAUGAGUCAGGAGCAAUCCGAAGCUUUGAACUGAAGCCCCAGUAAACGGCGGCCGUAACUAUAACGGUCCUAAGGUAGCGAAAUUCCUUGUCGGGUAAGUUCCGACCUGCACGAAUGGCGUAACGAUUUGGGCGCUGUCUCAACAGUGGACUCGGCGAAAUUGUAGUAUGCGUGAAGAUGCGCAUUACCCGCGACUGGACGGAAAGACCCCGUAGAGCUUUACUGUAGCCUGAUAUUGGAUUUUGGUAAUGAAUGUACAGGAUAGGUGGGAGACUGAGAGACAAGGACGUCAGUUUUUGUGGAGUCGACGUUGGGAUACCACUCUUUCAUUACUGAAAUUCUAACCUGUAGCCGUAAACCGGUAUGGGGACAGUGUCAGGUGGGCAGUUUGACUGGGGCGGUCGCCUCCGAAAGAGUAACGGAGGCGCCCAAAGGUUCCCUCAGAAUGGUUGGGAAUCAUUCAAAGAGUGUAAAGGCAAAAGGGAGCUUGACUGCGAGACUGACAGGUCGAGCAGGUACGAAAGUAGGGCUUAGUGAUCCGGUGGUAGAGAGUGGAAUUGCCAUCGCUUAACGGAUAAAAGUUACCUCGGGGAUAACAGGCUGAUCUCCCCCAAGAGUUCACAUCGACGGGGAGGUU
rnacentral:rRNA from 1 species